rnacentral:lncRNA from 1 species
GUGCCAGUGUCGGCAUAAGCGAAGAUGCGUCGUCGUCGGAAGCGACAGAAGAGGAGGGAGAGGGAGAGGACGAAAAGGGCGAGGAAGGGCGAGAGAGGCNAAAAAAAAAAGGAGAGAGAAAAAAUAAUAAGGGUAUUUUGAUCAGUUUGCUGAAAAUUCGGACUGAAUCUGGAAAAUUAAAAAAGACAGCCCAGUUUUAUAAAAGCUCAAAAUUUAUGAAUUUGAUAGAUGAAAUUUU